CGUAGGGUGCGAGCGUUGUCCGGAAUUAUUGGGCGUAAAGAGCUUGUAGGCGGUUUGUUGCGUCAGAAGUGAAAACUCAGGGCUUAACCCUGAGCCUGCUUCUGAUACGGGCAGACUAGAGGAAGUUAGGGGAGAACGGAAUUCCUGGUGGAGCGGUGGAAUGCGCAGAUAUCAGGAGGAACACCGGUGGCGAAGACGGUUCUCUGGGACUUUCCUGACGCUGGGAAGCGAAAGCGUGGGGAGCAAACAGGCUU
rnacentral:rRNA from 1 species